rnacentral:rRNA from 1 species
UACCCCUACGGGGCGCAGCAGUGGGGAAUAUUGCACAAUGGGGGGAACCCUGAUGCAGCGACGCCGCGUGAAGGAAGAAGUAUUUCGGUAUGUAAACUUCUAUCAGCAGGGAAGAAAAUGACGGUACCUGACUAAGAAGCCCCGGCUAACUACGUGCCAGCAGCCGCGGUAAUACGUAGGGGGCAAGCGUUAUCCGGAUUUACUGGGUGUAAAGGGCGUGUAGGCGGGGACGCAAGUCAGAUGUGAAAACCACGGGCUCAACCUGUGGCCUGCAUUUGAAACUGUGUUUCUUGAGUACUGGAGGG